CAGGCCCUGGUGGAUGAUACUGAGGAUGUGUCCCUGGACUUUGGCAACGAAGAGGAGCUGGCCCUUCAGAAAGCCAAGAUCAGCUUCUAAUGGCUGCUGGCUUCAGGCCUCUUCGUCUAUCUGCAGGACCAGCACGGCACCCCUCGGCCACCUUUUUCCACCUGUUCUUCCGAGUAAGCGCCAUCGUCACCUACGUCAGCUGUGACUGGUUCAGCAGAAGCUUUGUGGGCUGUUUCGUUACUGUGCUUCUCCUCCUGUCCCUCGACUUCUGGUCUGUGAAGAACGUCACUGGAAGACUGAUGGUGGGCCUCCGCUGGUGGAACCAGAUAGACGAAGACGGGAAAAGCCACUGGAUUUUUGAAGCCAGAAAGGUCUCUCCGAAUAGCACUGCUGCCACAGAAGCGGAAGCACGAAUCUUCUGGCUCGGCCUCAUUAUCUGCCCGAUGAUUUGGACUGUGUUCUUUUUUAGCACCUUAUUCUCCUUGAAGCUAAAGUGGCUGGCCCUCGUGAUAGCUGGCAUUUCCCUCCAAGCCGCUAACCUAUACGGCUACAUCCUUUGUAAGAUGGGAGGGGAGAAUGACAUCAGCAACAUCACAGCCAGUUUUCUGUCCCAGACGGUGUUCCAGACGGCCUGCCCAAGUGACUUUCAGAAGCCUGGCCUCGAGGGGCUGGAGAUUCACAAGCAUUAGGUCAUUCCACGUCGGCGUGCGUUGCCUGCUAGGCUUUCCCGAGACUGUCCACACCGGUGUCCUCCUGUGACAUGCAGGUUGUCUCAGGACCGUGUGUCAGCCCGGCGUCCAGUGGGACAGUGCCUGCCAGCUGCUCACCAGAGCGUCUCUGAUGCUCGCUAUGCUCGCUGGCUUGCUCUGUGGCUUCAACUGGAGGUGCCGUUUGGGAACCUGUAAUCCAUCACACAGGACUGUGCCCCCUGGGAGGAACUCAGUUCCAGCCUGGAACUGAGCAGGGAGCAGCCACUGGGCCCCCCUGCUUCGCUGUCCUCCCUUGUGAAGAGCUCAGGCCUUGGCUUCUAUGUGAGCAGUGGCCCUGACAGCAAGGCCUGCCGCUCUCCCGUGCCCCUCCUGACGUGGCAGCGACUGGCCUCGGGAUCUGAGGCCCGGCAGCUGCUCCAGGCUCCCUCCCAGGCCUGGCUUGGGGGACCCACACUCAGGCAGCAGGUGGACGCUGACGGUGGACAGUGGUCCAGACCCCCGCCCUUCUGAAUUCCACUUGCAUGGUUUGGCCCACUGCCUCCAGAGGCCCUGGGGUGGGAGAUACCCACUCAUACAACAGCCCGGGGACAUGAGGGGAGAUGCAGCGCCACUUCUGGUCAGCGAAAACUGCUCACUGAGUUUUAUAACACCCAGGAAGUGGGGAAAGCAGUUGUUCUCUAUAUUUGGGAGAGAAGCACAUACCAGAGAUGUGUUCUCAGGACAGGCUCUCCUGGCACCCUAGGUCCUCAGAACAGCCGUCUCAGCCCCUUCCCACCCCUACAGGGCAGGCGCCCUCCCGGCCAGGCUCGGGGCCCCUCCUCUCCACUGCCUGCUGCGAACUGGCCCUGAGAGCCAUCCCACCCCCACACCUGACCGGCCUCCUGAGCUUGCGGGCAAACCAGGGCCUCCCGCCUCCCGCACAGCACCCGGCUGAGUUCAUGGGGUAACGUGCCCCCUUCCCAACGCUCAGGCUGGACAGCACGGACAUCUGAUGCCUUCUGUACCCCUACCGUCAAAACUGUGGUCACUUUCCCCGUGUGCGCCCUUUCCUCUCCAGGCCCACGCCCAGGCCCUAGGCGCGUCCUCCCCUCCUCCCCACGGUCCGUCCGGAGCAGGCAGCCCACGGCCCCUCUGCAUUUCCUGGUGGCCACGCUUAUCUCAGUUUCCCCUGUCUUACCAGAGGAGUCCACACCCGUGGCCUGGCGCAGAGCUUUCCUCUCCUGGAUCCGGCCUCCCCUGCCUCCCCUUCUCUCCCCAAGCCCCACUUCCUCAUGGGUGUGGCCAGGUCAGAGGCGCAUGGAAAUCAAGUUCAACUGGGCUCUCUUGGGAACAAAAAUUCGGAGGAGGGGUGUAAUUUAGAGUGCAGGUGGCCCUCCCCACCACCCCCGUGGGCAAGCAGAUGCCCUGGAGCAAGUGUGGAUGGAGAAGGGUCAGCCACCCCCCACCCCUCCUCAGGCCCUGUGCCGCUCAUGGGGCAAGCAUCCCAUGGGUUCCUGGGGGCCUCUGGUACUGAAAGGGGCACCUUUCCCAUGCACCUCGGCCCGUAUGGGCAGGCCAGUGAUUUCACGUAGUGCUGAGGCAGCGGGCACUUGUGUCAUUUCCUGUCCCCUCUCCCUGGGGACUUCCUGUCUAGUGCCCUCUCGGCCUGCACCCCGGCACCUCCUGGAACUCGGGCCGGCCCAGCUGCCACCACUGACCUGCUUGGCCCCAUGCCCACGUCCUCACUGCCUCUCCCAGCCGCAGGCCAGGCUCUGGGCCCCACGCCCACUGGGCCGAGGGGCACACGGGCGGCUGAGCACGGUGCAGGGUCAGGGCUGUGUGGUUAG